GACGAACGUUGGCGGCGUGCCUAAUACAUGCAAGUCAAUUGAAAUACCGGUAGCAAUACUGGUAUGGAGGUGGCGCACGGGUGAGUAACACGUAGGUAAUCUGCCUUCAGGUCUGACAUAACCCAUCGAAAGGUGAGCUAAUAUCAGAUGAUGCAGCGGCUUGACAUCAAGACAGUUGCUAAAGCUUCGGCGCCUGAAGAUGAGCCNGCGUCUGAUUAGCUAGUUGGC
rnacentral:rRNA from 1 species